GACGAACGCUGGCGGCGUGCUUAACACAUGCAAGUCGAACGGAAAGGCCCUGCUUUUGUGUGGUGCUCGAGUGGCGAACGGGUGAGUAACACGUGAGUAACCUGCCCCGGACUUUGGCAUAACUUCACUAAACUGGGGCUAAUACCGGAUAGGAGCUCCUGCGGCAUGGUGGGCGUUGUAAAGUUUCGUCGGGUGGGGAUGGACUCGCGGCUUAUCAGCUUGUUGGUGGGGUUGUGGCUUAGCAAGGCUUUGACGGGUAGCCGGCCUGAGAGGGUGGCCGGCCACAUUGGGACUGAGAUACGGCCCGGACUCCUACGGGAGGCAGCAGUGGGGAAUAGUACACAAUGGGCGGAAGCCUGAUGCAGCGACGCCGCGUGCGGGAUGACGGCCUUCGGGUUGUAAAGCGCUUUCGCCUGUGACGAAGAGUGAGUGACGGUAAUGGGUAAAGAAGCACCGGCUAACUACGCG
rnacentral:rRNA from 1 species